rnacentral:rRNA from 1 species
AGUCGCCGCGGUAAUACGAAGGGUGCAAGCGUUAAUCGGAAUUACUGGGCGUAAAGCGUGCGUAGGCGGUUUGUUAAGUCUGUUGUGAAAUCCCCGGGCUCAACCUGGGAAUGGCAAUGGAUACUGGCAAGCUAGAGUGUGUCAGAGGAUGGUGGAAUUCCCGGUGUAGCGGUGAAAUGCGUAGAGAUCGGGAGGAACAUCAGUGGCGAAGGCGGCCAUCUGGGACAACACUGACGCUGAGGCACGAAAGCGUGGGGAGCAAACAGGAUUAGAUACCCCUGUAGUCCCUGUCUCUUAUACA